GGUUGAUCCUGCCAGUAGUCUUAUGCUUGUCUCAAAGAUUAAGCCAUGCAUGUCUAAGUACACACUUUGGUAAAGUGAAACCGCGAAUGGCUCAUUAAAUCAGCUACAAUUUAUUAGAUCGUACACUGUUACUUGGAUAACUGUGGGAAUUCUAGAGCUAAUACAUGCCGAGAGUCUCUGCUCUUCGGGGCAGAGCGCAGUUAUUAGACCAAAACCAGCCGUAUCUUUCGGGGUAUGCUCUUUUGGUGACUCUGGAUAACCUUCAGCCGAUCGCAUGGCCUCGUGCCGGCGACGUAUCUUUCAAGUGUCUGCCCUAUCAACUUUCGAUGGUACGUGAUAUGCCUACCAUGGUGAUAACGGGUAACGGGGAAUCAGGGUUCGAUUCCGGAGAGGGAGCCUGAGAAAUGGCUACCACAUCCAAGGAUGGCAGCAGGCGCGCAAAUUACCCACUCCCAGCUUGGAGGUAGUGACGAAAAAUAACAAUGCGGGACUCUAAGAGGCCCCGUAAUUGGAAUGAGUACACCUUAAAUCGUUUAACGAGUAUCAAUUGGAGGGCAAGUCUGGUGCCAGCAGCCGCGGUAAUUCCAGCUCCAAUAGCGUAUAUUAAAGUUGCUGCAGUUAAAAAGCUCGUAGUUGGAUCUGGGGCUUGAGGUCGCUGUCUAUCGUUUCGGCGAUGACGGUGAUGCUCAGCUCUGCUUGCCGGUGACUGUUGCGGUGUUCUUCAGUGAGCGCUGUAGCAGCACGGCACGUUUACUUUGAAAAAAUUAGAGUGCUCAAAGCGUGCUUGUCGCUUGAAUAAUGUUGCAUGGAAUAAUGGAAUAGGACCUCGGUUCUAUUUUGUUGGUUUUCGGAGCUUGAGGUAAUGAUUAAGAGGGACGAACGGGGGCACUCGUAUUGCGGUGUUAGAGGUGAAAUUCUUGGAUCGCCGCAAGACGGACUACUGCGAAAGCAUUUGCCAAGAACGCUUUCAUUAAUUAAGAACGAAAGUCAGAGGUUCGAAGACGAUCAGACACCGUCCUAGUUCUGACCAUAAACGAUGCCGACCAGCGAUCCGUAGUGGUUGCUUUAUGGACCCUACGGGCAGCCUCCGGGAAACCAAAGUAUUUGGGUUCCGGGGGAAGUAUGGUUGCAAAGCUGAAACUUAAAGGAAUUGACGGAAGGGCACACCAGGAGUGGAGCCUGCGGCUUAAUUUGACCCAACACGGGAAAACUCACCCGGUCCGGACACCGUAAGGAUUGACAGACUGAUAGCUCUUUCUUGAUUCGGUGGAUGGUGGUGCAUGGCCGUUCUUAGUUGGUGGAGUGAUUUGUCUGGUUAAUUCCGAUAACGAACGAGACUCUAGCCUGCUAAGUAGUGUGUCUAUUG
rnacentral:rRNA from 1 species